GACGAACGCUGGCGGCGUGCUUAACACAUGCAAGUCGAACGGUAAGGCCCUUCGGGGUACACGAGUGGCGAACGGGUGAGUAACACGUGGGUGAUCUGCCCUGCACUUCGGGAUAAGCCUGGGAAACUGGGUCUAAUACCGGAUAGGACCCUGGGAUGCAUGUCCUGGGGUGGAAAGCUUUUGCGGUGUGGGAUGGGCCCGCGGCCUAUCAGCUUGUUGGUGGGGUGAUGGCCUACCAAGGCGACGACGGGUAGCCGGCCUGAGAGGGUGACCGGCCACACUGGGAGGGAGAUACGGCCGAGACUCCUAGGGGAGGCAGAAGGGGGGAGUAUUGCACAAUGGGCGCAAGCGUGAUGCAGCGACGCCGCGUGAGGGAGGACGGCCUUCGGGUUGUAAACCUCUUGCAGCACCGACGAAGCGCAAGGGAGGGUAGGUGCAGAAGAAGGACCGGCCAACUACGUGCCAGCCGCCGCGGUAA
rnacentral:rRNA from 1 species